rnacentral:rRNA from 1 species
UACGGGGGGGGCAAGCGUUGUUCGGAAUUACUGGGCGUAAAGCGCACGUAGGCGGCCUUUCAAGUCGGAUGUGAAAGCCCCGAGCUUAACUCGGGAACUGCAUUUGAUACUGUUGGGCUAGAGACCGGGAGAGGAUAGCGGAAUUCCCAGUGUAGAGGUGAAAUUCGUAGAUAUUGGGAAGAACACCAGUGGCGAAGGCGGCUAUCUGGACCGGUACUGACGCUGAGGUGCGAAAGCGUGGGGAGCAAACAGG